UCCAUACAGUGUUCCAGGUCAGUCAGAAACAGAGUAGAGACCCUGUUUCAAAAAUAAAUAAAUAUACAAGAAAAAAAUUAACUGUACUGGAUCCCAAAGACUGGGGUGGACCUCUUAAUGUCUAGUGUCCCUUAUCUUAAGAUUUGAUGCAAUAUAA
rnacentral:snoRNA from 1 species